CAGAUCACCAGGGUGACAUUUAGGGUUACAUACAACCUAGAGGCUCCUGACAUCCCUGGAGGGGCAGAUGCAUUAGAAGCCUCAAGCUGGUGGCCAGCAGAUUGCUUUCCAAAGCCUAAAUCUUAUUGCCUAGCUGUCACAGAGCACCCACCUGCCUGUCCCCACAGUUCUGCUUUCUCAAACCUCUAUCCACCCCUUUCCUUUCUGGCAGCAUCUGAGUUUAUGCUCAGGCAUCCUGCCCCAGAGAGCCUUUCUUCCACUGCCAGGCCUUUAUAGACCCCAAAACCAAGCAAGCUGCAAGGGGAGGGGCCUGCAGACCUUAGCCUUCAGGGGAAUGCUUGGGGACGACUGUCCCAAGCCUCCCCAGUUCUCUUCUGGGAGUCUGCACAUUCUCAGUCUUGCCCUCCUGGGUCUCUGCUUCUCCAGCCCUCGAGGUGACAAGCUUCAUGGAGACACAGCAAAUCAACCGUUGCCACAUCAGCACUGAUGGGACCUUGUGAGAGUAGCUGCCACUCUGAGCCUCGGUUUUCUACCUGUAACUCCAAGGAAAGCUGAGUCAGCAGCUCCUGGGAGGUGCCCAUGCUCCGGUACUGCAACCGGGGCGUGGCAGGCGACGAAUACUCCAGUGCCAGAAUGGUCUUCCGGAGCCGGCGGUCAAUAAAAUGAGCAUCCC
rnacentral:lncRNA from 1 species